rnacentral:rRNA from 1 species
AGUGAACGCUGGCGUCGUGCCUAAUACAUGCAAGUCGAACGGAGUGGCGCACGGGUGAGUAAUUAAUAUCUAAUCUGCCCUACACUAGAGGACAACAGUUGGAAACAACUGCUAAUACUCUAUAGUGUAGGAUGAGGUUAUAUUGUAUCAGCUAGUUGGUGAGGUAAUGACUCACCAAGGUUAUGACGCAUAACUGGUCUGAUAUGAUGAUCAGUCACCCUGGAACGGAGACACGGUCCAGACUCCUACGGGAGGCAGCUGUAGGGAAGAUUGCUCAAUGGGUGAAACCCUGAAGCAGCAUCGCCGCGUGGAGGAUGACACUUUUCGGAGCGUAAACUCCUUUUGUUAGGGAAGCGGUACCUAACGAAUAAGCACCGGCUAACUCCGUGCCAGCAGCCGCGGUAAUUC